CGCGUAGGCGGCCUGCUAAGUCACACGUGAAAUCCCUCGGCUCAACCGGGGAACUGCGUGUGAUACUGGCGGGCUUGAAUUCGGGAGAGGGAUGUGGAAUUCCAGGUGUAGCGGUGAAAUGCGUAGAUAUCUGGAGGAACACCGGUGGCGAAGGCGGCAUCCUGGACCGAGAUUGACGCUGAGGCGCGAAAGCUAGGGGAGCAAACG
rnacentral:rRNA from 1 species